UUCAUUUCUUGCAUCUCUUUAUUUUAAGGAUUAAAAAAUUUAUUUUCUUCCUUAGGAAAUCCCAGUUUACAAAAAUUAACUUGAAGCCAAGGUAAUUUGGGAUCAUAAAAACUGGGCCAGAUGCCUUACUGAUCGUCCUUAACAUAGAACUGUCUUGUUGUGCAGAUGGGCUCAUUUGGAAAUUUUUAACAGCCCACGCCAGGGUCACUUGUGAUAAUCAGGGACACCUUCACAUCUGAACAUGAACAGUCUCAAGCUAGGCAUACCUCUGCAGGGAUUUGCACCUUUUAUAUCCCUUAAGAUGAAUAUUCUGAUUUUCCUUCGAUGUUGACAGAUCUCAUUUUAUGAGGAUGGCUUUUUUUUUUUUACUUGUUUUACUCUAAAGGCCAGGUAUUUGAAAACUGUAUGACUCCUUGUUUCUAGAUCAAUUUUUCCAUAUUACCAUCUUGUUCCUAUCCUUUCUAUUUGCUGGAUAUAUCACCAAGUAACAACAUUUUCUGUAUAUAUUCAUAAUUCCCUUGUCCUGUAACUUGAUUACAGGAUAUUCUGUUGUGAAUUAGCAGUUAAAAGUGUUUAAAUAUGUUUGUAAUUACAGUUUGUGUUAAUUAUAGAAUAAUUCCUUCUUUUCUCUGAGUGUAUUGAUUUGGAAUGUAAAGUGUAUGAUAAAUCACAAAACUGAGUGAGACAUUCUGGAUAAAGCUGAUUACAACAAAGCAUCUCAGUCAAGGGUUCACCUUACCACAAUUCUCUUUUUUAUAGCAACCUGUGCAGAUAAUCAUUGCUGAGUAAACAUGCUGUCUUUGUGCCUAGAAAUGAGUGUCUGAUGGGAAUAACUUUUCUACAUGCCCAGGGAAACUGACAUUUUUGUCCCUUAUCACUUGGAAUAAACACAGCAUGGUAGAAGGUUCCAUAAGUGGAAACAGAGGAAGCAUUCUACCUCAAGUCUCUUAAAAAGUCAAUGGUGCCAUCAUGGACACCCUAUCAUCAUGAUCUCAUUUUAUCUCCCGAAGAUCCCACCAUCAAUACCAUUAACAUGAACUCUUUUCAACACAUGAAAAUUUGGGGUGUACAUUUAAACCACAGUUGAGUAGAAGCUCUAUUCCAAGUAUAAGAAUGAGAUGCUAAUUUAUUCUUCUUCAACUUACUCAUGGGGAGGAAAUUCACACAAUAUUGGCCUUGCUCCAGUGCAGUUCAGUAUUGCAGAAUUUCUGGUCAAGGGGAAAUGCAUGUGGGAGCAAAGAACCUGUGGGAAUUGAUUUCAUUUGAAAGAUGGAGUGACUUCAAUCAAGUUGAGGAUUUCAAGCGAGAUCUUCAAUCAAGUGAAUCCCAUCUAACAUGGACUGGAUACAAUUCAUUCAAGACUUUCACUAUACUAACAUUUUCUUCCUACAGGACCCCACAUGACUAUCAUCAUCCCAUUUCAGCAGGAAGUAACUUGGAGGAUGCUACGCCCCCUUUCCCCAUUGUUGUCACUUAGGAUAGUGUAUAUACCUAGUUAGGGAUAGCUUCCUAUUGUUUUUGGUUGGGAUUGGAACGAGGUGUUCAGGCUUGGAUACCUCUGUCAGAUGACUUUAGGGUUUAGUUAAAAUAGAUAGUUAGGAUGUGACAUAAGCAGAUUGUUGUAUCUUCUUAUAUUUUACCUUUAUGAUUGUUCAUUUUGGAUACUUUAAACUGUUAAAUUUUAAUCCUCUUUUAGACUAAAAGGGGAAUUGUAGGGGAAGCUGUAGCCACGCCUACUUAUGGGCUGGCUACAGGUGUGCCUGACCAUGCUUGUGAGGGUGUGGUCAGAGUGACGUAGUGUGACUGCGUUUGCGCUUUCGGUUUCACUUUGCUUCUUGCUGUACAGACUGCUGCCACGCCGGCUGGCUAGGUCGCUCUGUAAG
rnacentral:lncRNA from 1 species